AGGGAAAGAGAGAGAGAGAGAGAGCUCGGGAGCAGAGGAGAGAAAGGGGAGACCUGUGCUCAGCCACCGCCGCGCCUCUGCCGCCGAGAAGCUCCGCUGCCGCCACUGAGAUUCACCAUCGUCACCGUCGAAGAAGCUUCAGCCGCCGCCGUCGAUUGUCACUGGAGAACAGCUGCCGUGUCUCUGGUUGCCGGAAUCAUGGACUGGAGAGAAGGGUGCUGCCUCUCCUAUUGCUGCUGCUUCGUUCUUUUAUCGUAAGCGAUCUUUGUUUCCAGUUCCAUUGAAUUCAUUUCUGUUUUGAUUCCAUUGGGUUUGAAUUCUCUAUUUUGUUGUAACCAUGGUCACUGUUGUUGGAGUUAUUGACGCCGCUCUCAGUGCUAAUUGGAUUAACCAUUAUAGCUAUUCUGCAUCACCUUCACUUUCCAUUAUUUCUGUCAAAGUCCUGCUCUUGCCGAUGUUGGCCAUUGGAUUUGUAACAGCUCCAACUUUUAUUUUCCUCUUGAUUCGAGUAACUAUAGUUGCUACAAAAGUGGUUUGGAAAUGCGGUUGUGGUUGCCGCUGUGAUGAGCCGAGGGAAAAAAGGGAUUCAACGUAUUUAAUUAUGCGGAUUGCGAAUAAUUGAGGAACCAGAUGAGGAAGUAUUAUGGAGAGUAUACUGCAUUUGGUUUAUAUAUGUUGUUGUAUUAAUUAGAUUAUUUUCUUCCCUCGUCCUUGUUAUUACAAGUUUGUAAGAGGGAUAUGAGUUGUAUGUUUAAAAUGUAUUUUAUAUUAUGAGUUAUUAUGUAAUGAAUCUUGUAUAUGAA